UCGUUACCGUCACCCCGCCAAAGCACCACUAAUCUCACCCUAACCACAAAAACAACACUAAGCAGUCAUUGAUCUCACCGUUAAUCACUGGAACAGCACUAAGCCUACCACUACUCAUGACCUUUACACUUUUUAACCAAUUCAGCGCCGCGACAGUCUGUGUUGGCCCAAGCGUUGUAACAAUGAGCCGAAUAUUUCCGGUCCACUUCACGCUCUUGUCUAUAGUACCGUGAAGACUACGCGUUAUAUUUUUGGGUUUGGAAUUACGACAAUAUUGUGAGAAACAAGUCGUCGGAGUAAUUUGUAGCAUGAAUUGGUUGAGUUUUGAUUCUGAACCGUUUGUGAGUCGUGUGUCGAGGGAUGUUCGAGGUUCAAUUGGCGGUGAAAGCUUGCGUUACGUUUGAGAUGUGUUUGAGGUUGUGCUUGAGGUGAUUAGGUGCAAUUUUUGAUUUAACACUGAAGUUUGAGACCGAUCGGGUGUGUAAGAGUUUGUGAUCUUGCUAUAAACUGGGUGUUGUAAAUAGCGUUUCGUCGGUAAGAAUUUGAAGUGUUUCGGAGCAUCGACAAUGUCGAUAACGCCCUCGUUCAUGUGUGUUGUCACCUUUCUAGUUGUAGCCUUCAUUGUGCUGGGUCUUGUGGUGAUACUUAGUCCUUAUGUCAAGUAUGCCAAACACUUUACAGGCCACUGAAAGACAGAUUGUGAAAUCCUGAUAUCUUCAGAAGUUUUCAAAUCGUAGAUCGUCGAUUACUAUGGAGACUCUGUGGUCUGCUACCACGAUGGCACUCCAGAUCGCAGUCAAUAAUGCGUCUCAAUUUUCAAAUUUCUCUUCGUGCUCCUGCGAUCAUUAACCGCACCAUGGCUUUCACUGUAACCCUAAACUUACUGCUCCAAGUGUUAAUUAUCCCUCGUGUGUAUAUGAUGUGAAAAUUGAACUCUAAAACCAGCAUAAUGUGCUUAGUAUCGCACAUAUGCAUAAUUGCAGAGGUUGCACUAAAAUCUUCUAAAUAUCUUUAUUGAUAGCACUAAUUAGUGUUCGAGUAAUGCUGUAUUUGGAGUCAUUGAUCCUGAUGACAAUUGGGUUUAAAACUCCAUCUCCGACUCAGGCAAUAUUUUAGGAACGUUGAAAUUGACAUUUCAUACCCUUCCGAACGGUCGGGGAUUAACAGUGAUAAAAUUCUCACGUCACCUCCGUUAAUCUUCGCAACGGCGACUUGUCGGGAACAGUCUCUUUGAAAUUGCACAGUCUCUACGAAAACCACGAUUACUUUCGGGUCCCAUAAUCCUGCGGCUUUCGGAAAUAGGUGCCAGGUCUGGAAAACUGGUCCUGCUCAACGGGGUUCCUUCUUCACUGUACGAGAAGUGGAUCAGGCAGGGGGUUGGUGCUCUUGUUGACAAGAAAAGGAUCGUUGGAGAGGGGUCCAUUGGCACCGUCUAUCAGGCAACUACAAGUGAUGGAACGAUCUUCGCCUUAAAGAAGUUCAGCACUUUGGAAUUAAUGAGAGACGCUGAGGAGAUCGAGGUUAACAUGCGCAGCCUAGACCACGUGCGGAACCCGAACCUGGUGAAGGUUCAAGGCUUCUACUUGACGACGACGUUGAAGCUGAUCUUGUCUAAAUUCGGUCUAAAUGGAACCCUUUCAGAUUGUGUGCACAAUUCAAAUCAGGCUGUAAAUCCCUCACUGGGUCAGCAAAUGUGUAUAUGGAUGAGAGGUUGGAGGGAAAAUUAAUGACUUCAGUCCAAGCUGGAAUACCACAAGGCACUCAGUUACGUUGCUCUUGAACAUGCUUGAGAAGCCUGCGCGUUUAUGAGAAGUGUGACGUUUAAGUUCUUAAGGGUGCAACAGGCAGAUAGCCUUGUGAAGGUAGGCACUGUUCUGGUGGGAAUCCACGUUAGAGACAAAUUGGAACAGAGGAGACUUUGGGAGUGCAUUUUCCCGUGAUCCAGCGAUUAUGGUGGUUGAAGCUGUGAAUAUUAAUUUUGCGAUUAUCUGCACUCUCCAGGUAAGUGACAAUGGCUAUGGAGGUGCUUUAUCCUCUCAUCUCUUUUGGAUCAAUGUUGCAGUUUUGUGAAUAUGCCGAACAGUUGUGCAAGUAAUGGCUACAUGCAACAUAUUACAUGGAAGACACGUAAAUAGCAUAUGCAGUGUGUGCCCAUAUCCAGUGCAGUUGACAGAAGCACAUGGCCACAUUAACUGCCUCAACCUGCUCAUCACGUACAUGACUGAAAUAGGAAGUGUAAUAACCUUUCGUUUGCCUCAUUUGCAAGCGAACAAGUAAAUGUAAACAAGAACAUACAGAAAUUAGUCA